CGUGAUUUGUUCACCGUGUAUAACGUUUUUGCAAGGCAAGUAAAGUGUAUAGUUACCACAACGAUUCGUCAACAGUUUGACGGAUGGUAUACCAGACUGGACAGCGAACGGCAGAUGCGACCGUUACCAUUUGUUCAAAGUUGUUCGUGGAGGACGAAAUACGAGCGAAACGUUUUAAUUAAUUUAUAUACGAAAAAGCUUCUAAGGACGAUGAAAAAAUAAAUG